GAUGAAGAACGUAGCGAAAUGCGAUAAGUAAUGUGAAUUGCAGAAUUCAGUGAAUCAUCGAAUCUUUGAACGCACAUUGCGCCCGCCAGUAUUCUGGCGGGCAUGCCUGUUCGAGCGUCAUUUCAACCAUCAAGCCCCAGGCUUGUGUUGGAGCCCUGCGGCUCCGCAGCCUCCCAAAACCAGUGGCGGGCUCGCUAUCACACCGAGUGCAGUAGUUUACUCUUCGCUCAGGGCGUGUGGCGGGUGCUAGCCGUGAAACCCCCAACUUCUCAAGGUUGACCUCGGAUCAGGUAGGAAUACCCGCUGAACUUAAGCAUAUCAAUAAGCGGAGUA
rnacentral:misc_RNA from 1 species